AACGAACGCUGGCGGCAGGCCUAACACAUGCAAGUCGAGCGCGCCCUUCGGGGUGAGCGGCGGACGGGUGAGUAACGCGUGGGAACGUGCCCUUUUCUACGGAAUAGCCUCGGGAAACUGAGAGUAAUACCGUAUACGCCCUUUGGGGGAAAGAUUUAUCGGAAAAGGAUCGGCCCGCGUUGGAUUAGGUAGUUGGUGGGGUAAUGGCCUACCAAGCCGACGAUCCAUAGCUGGUUUGAGAGGAUGAUCAGCCACACUGGGACUGAGACACGGCCCAGACUCCUACGGGAGGCAGCAGUGGGGAAUCUUAGACAAUGGGGGCAACCCUGAUCUAGCCAUGCCGCGUGAGUGAUGAAGGUCUUAGGGUUGUAAAGCUCUUUCAGCUGGGAAGAUAAUGACGGUACCAGCAGAAGAAGCCCCGGCUAACUCCGUG
rnacentral:rRNA from 1 species